AAGGGCUCAUGAGAGAGAAUAUGGGUGUAUAAGUAGAUCUGGAAAUCAUCUACUUAGAGGUGAUAAUUGAAACCAUGGGAACUCAGGAAAUCAGUAAGGAAGAGCAUAGAGAGAGAAAAAAGAGUAGAGGGACUCAGGUAGAGCCUUGCUUUUGCUGUUUGUGAGUACCACAUAGAUGAAGAUCCUGCAAAAGAGACUUAGAAGGAACAGUUAGAUAUAAAGGAUGAGAACCAAGAGGGAAGAGAGUAGAAAAAGACCUAGUCAGAAAAGCAUAUCAAAGAGGAGAAUGUAGUCAACAAUUUCAAAUACUGCAAACAGAGUAACAUUAGAAUAUUACAUUGCAGAGGUGAGGUGAAAUAUGGACAAAGGAAAAGAAAAAGGGAAGAAAAUCAGAAAACUAUUUAAGUUUGUCUUCAUAACAACCAGAGAUAUUUGGGAAGUGAAAUAAGCCAGUGAUUUGGUGAUCAUUAAGAUGACAAAAAUGUUUUCACCGAAAACAGAAGACAAGAUGUCAAAGAAGUUAAUAUUCACCUCUAACCUCUGAUCUAGAUCUCUAUGCUUCUGGGUGAAUGAAAUUACCAAGUGUCAUUGGAACAAAUCACACCAGUGAUGCAUUUGUGAAAGAUUUGAUAGCUGGAAAAAUGUGGUCUUACAUCCAUAAGCACUGAGCCAAACCUGGACUGUUCUUCUAGAUUCCUUCAGUAUUUAAGAAGAAGGGACCAUGGACUGCAGCAUUUUGCCAUAUUUACAUAGAGUGACUCAUAAACAUUGUCUUGGCCUCAGAAUUUUUGCUUCUAUCUUGGAGAUAUAGUUCUCAUUCUCCUACCAUCAAAUAUUGUUAAAAUAAAGAAUUGAAACAGCCUAA